rnacentral:lncRNA from 1 species
CGCUAACAUUGGGAGUCAAAGACAGACUAUAUGCACUUAGGAAGGGCAGCUUCAGUACUCUCUGUGAAGCCCAGAAAACAACUCUACAUUGGGCUCAUCAAGAAAAUCCUGGGAACUCCAGGAAGGAGAGGAGUCGUGUGAGUCAUCUGCUUUAUUCCAUGUGGAGGACACUUGCGGUGACAUCUGAACUAGUCCUAUUUAAUAUCCGACUCAUCCAAGCUGUAACCGAAAUAAAAGCGUAAGUAUUAUUUAACACUGACAUUAAGAGCAGAGUUCAUGCCUAGGGGAAAAAGAACAUGCCAACCUGCC